CCUACCCUUGACAUGUCCGGAAUCCUGCAGAGAUGCGGGAGUGCCCGAAAGGGAAUCGGAACACAGGUGCUGCAUGGCUGUCGUCAGCUCGUGUCGUGAGAUGUUGGGUUAAGUCCCGCAACGAGCGCAACCCUUAUCAUUAGUUGCUACGCAAGGGCACUCUGAUGAGACUGCCGGUGACAAACCGGAGGAAGGUGGGGAUGACGUCAAGUCCUCAUGGCCCUUAUGGGUAGGGCUUCACACGUCAUACAAUGGUCGGUACAGAGGGUUGCCAAGCCGCGAGGUGGAGCCAAUCCCAGAAAGCCGAUCGUAGUCCGGAUUGUUCUCUGCAACUCGAGAGCAUGAAGUCGGAAUCGCUAGUAAUCGCGGAUCAGCGCGCCGCGGUGAAUACGUUCCCGGGCCUU
rnacentral:rRNA from 1 species